rnacentral:rRNA from 1 species
AUUGAACGCUGGCGGCAGGCCUAACACAUGCAAGUCGAACGGAAACAGGAAGAUGCUUGCUUCUUUGCUGACGAGUGGCGGACGGGUGAGUAAUGUCUGGGAAACUUCCUGAUGGAGUGGGAUAACUACUGGAAACGGUAUCUAAUACCGCAUAACGUCGCAAGACCAAAAAGGGGGACCUUCUGGCCUCUUGCCAUCGGAUGUGCCCAGAUGGGGUUAGCUAGUAGGUGGGUUAACGGCUCACCUAGGCGACGAUCGCUGGCUGGUCUGAGAGGGUGACCAGCCACACUGGGACUGAGACGCGGCACAGACUCCGACGGGAGGCAGCGGUGGGGAAUAUUGCACAAUGGGCGCAAGCCUGAUGAAGCCAUGCAGGGUGUAUGAAGAAGGCCUGCGGGUUGUAAAGCACUUUUAGCGUGGAGGAAGGGAGUAAAGUUAAUACCAGCGCUCAUUGACGGUACCCGCAGAAGAAGCACCGGCUAACUCCGUG